rnacentral:rRNA from 1 species
GACAGAGGCCUCGAGCGUUAGGCGGAAUCACUGGGCUUAAAGCGUGUGUAGGCGGAUCGUUAAAGUCACCUUGUGAAAUCCCACGGCUCAACCGUGGAAACGGCUGGGGUAUACUGGGCGGUCGUUGGGGCCCAUUCAGGGGGCGACUGGAACAAAGCGGUGGGAGCGGUGAAAUGCGUAGAUAUCGCUUGGAACGCCGAAGGGUGAAAACAGGUCGCCUGGGACGUUACUGACGCUGGAGAACGCGAAAGCGUGGGGAGCAAACAGG